AGUGCAGAUGCUCUUCAUGACAGCCUCCAUAGCUAUGCCCACCCUGACAGCCACACCCACCUCAAUGGUGACACAUCCCACUUAAGUAGCUGCAAUAAUUUGGGGGGUUCUGUUUCAAGAGAUCAAGGAUAGUUUCCUAAUCCUACAGAGCUUGAACCUUAUGGGGUUAUUCACUCAGAAGAGCAGGCUGGAUUGUCAACCUCAAACAGUCGAGGAUAUUCAUUGGAACAGAAGACAGGAAGCAUGGACAGCAGGAACAAAAAGCAGAGAAUCCACUCCAGGAGACAGGCAAGGCAAAGCAAAGCUAAGCUCCUCUGGCUCGCUCGCUCUCUUCUCCCAGGAGACAGAAAGGCAGAACGGUAACUGGCUGUCUCCUUAAGUACAUUUUAAAAUCCCCCACCCUUGUACUUUCUCUGACCCUUCUCCUAGGCAAUGUGGGGUCAGUCACCAUGGGCAACACAAGAUUUGAAUGGAAAUGAGCCAAUCUGGAACCAGGGGGGAAUCGCCACCCAGUCGUUGUACACUGUAAGUCGCCAAUCUGAAGCUUGGGAGGGUUGGGAUUUUCAAAAAAAAAUUCCUAACACAAAAUGGAGAAAGUGAGAUCGCCAGAACAUGGAGGUCUGAAUCUGUUAAUUUUUCGAGUCCAAAAUCUGGGCGAUUUGUUUUGAACCUGAAUCUCGUCAGCUAGCACAGGGGUGAUUUAAUUUGUCCACAAAUCUCCCAAAACAGGAAGAUUUUGCUACGAAUCAUUUUGUACUUGAAUCGAUUCACACAUCCCUAAUUCUGAGGGGAUCUUCCUGUAUCUUCCAUCUAGUACAGUUGAGGGGAGGGCAGCAAAGAGGGACAAGGUGAAGGCUUUUCUGUGAUUGGGAACCUCAAGCUGCGUAUGGUAAACAGCAGGUGUAGCUAUGUAUCUUAUACUUUCUGAGACAUGGAAGUCUGGAACCAUGCCUAGGUCAGCUUGGUGCUCUAUGUCCAUUAUGCGCUAUUUGAGGAGUGUUCUGGCCUGCCUAUGGCCCAGGAGGAGGAAGUGGGCAGGAGACAGCCCAAGUGACACUAUUUUCGCCACCCCCCUCGAGCUGGGCCCAAACCAGUUCAGACUCAAGCUGAACUGGGGCCUGGCUUGACAUGCACAAAACUGGACCAAACCUUGUUGAGCUCGAGUCCAGUUAGAUUUGUGUCCAGGUUUUGUGCACACCUCUACUAAUCUGAGGGCUAUAGACUAAGAGGCUCAGACUAAGUGAUACCUCUAAAUAGCAAGAUACCUCUAAAUACCAGUUGCAGGGGAGCAACAACAAGAGAGAGGGCGUGCACAUAACUCUUGCCUGUGGGCUUCCCAGAGGCAUCUGUUGAGCCAUUGAGUGAAACAGGAUGCUGGACUAGAUAGGCUUUGAGCCUGAUCCAGCAGGGCUGUUCUUAUGUUUUUAUGAGAAGCUCAGUUCAGGGAAUCAUUCCUGCCCCUAUUCAGGAAUAAGAGAAGAUGACCUUGAAAUCACUUUGUUGCAUUAAUUCAGUUGAGAAAGGCUAUCCCAUACAUUUUGAUUCUUCUUUAUAUAUAAUCGAUCAUCUCCCUGAAGAAAUGAAAUUAAAAGGAAGUAUUGCAUCAAAACUGCAGAUCCUGUUGAGGGAUAGUAUUUUACAUAUCACACUGAUAAAGCUUCUUCUGUUAAUUAUUCAUUGAUGCAUCCGUCAUUCAAGUCCGUCCUUGGCUGGGGCUCUGUACUGCAGUACUGGAAGUAUGCACCGCACUGCUGAUACUUUAAUAUGGAUCUUUAAGCCUCAUUAGCACUGCUUCGUAAUAGCUAUGUAUAAUAUUUCUUAAAAUGGGCACACUAAAAAUAAAAAUACUGUUUGCAGGAGGAGGGAAUCAAGCAGCACACCCUGCAGACUUUUCUUAGUCUGCAAACUUAGUUAAAGAAAGAAAAAUCUAAUAGAAAAGAAGUUGCUCCUUUCUACCCCUUCAAUGGAUAUUUUAAUGUCAGUUACCAUAUGGGAAGCUUUUUAAACCAUCUCUGGCUGUCAUGGAGUACUUCUGUACACCAAGAAGCUCAAAAAAGUACAUUAAUUGUUGGUUUUUAAUUCUAUAAUUUUGUCCAUUUACGACAUUGUCACUGUCACCCCAGUAAACAAAACCUGCAGAUAACAGAUAAUGAGCAUGAAAGGUUUGGCCUUUUAGGGUUAAAAAACAUCCUGGGGUUCAAAUGUCACAUAGUUCAAGGUUCACAUAAUUCAUGUGCAAACAUAGUUGACUUGCAAAAAUACCCAUAAUCUCAGUGAAAUGUAUUCUUCUAUGACUUGAUUUGCCUCAACAUGUUUUGUUUAGUUGACCUAUAGGUCAGGGUGCCUUCAAAGUUCACCAUAAUGGCAACUUUGGGAAACUCAGUAUUCCUGUCCCUUCGCACCUAACAAUCUUAUUUGACCCGCCCUGUGCACAACCUGGACUGAGGUAAAAUUCAUUAUUGCCUGUUUUCAAAGGGAGAACAUUCAUUCCCUACCUGUCUCAAGAAUGCCAAGUCAUCACACUUUUGAGUUUUCAAAAUAAAAAGUCACCUGCCAACCAGUCAUCUUUGCCUAUAAUUAUGGCUCAAUUGUCCCUUUCCUGCCAGCAAGGACAGGAAAGCAAGAAAGAGGAAAGAUCAAUCAAGAGAAUAGAACGAGGACAAGACCAAAGCAUAAUGGAUGCUCCUUCAACAGCAAAUAUUUCUGUGUGCCUCUCUGCCACGGUUGCCAAAUCUGACAAAUGUAUUGCUCUGUUGUCAUGACCACCACCCCGGCGUGGGGGGAGGGGAGUGGCAUUCCUAGCCUCUCAAUAUGGUGUUUACCCCUUCUUGUUUCAGAGAGUAAGAGUGAGAUCAUGUUGCUGCCUGCCUUGCCCCUCCUCCUAUAUUAUUGUUUUCUGCUAUUUUCAGUUUAUUGUUAUUGAUGGUUUCAUUGUAUUUUUAAAAACUAUAUUUUCUUUUUCUUAUGAGGUACUUUGGUUGUUUUCUUCCAACCAGAAAUCAUUUUGUAUGGAAAUCUCUGAAGACGUGCAGUGCCCAAAAGCUUCAUCCUUGACAUUAUUUCUAAUCUACAGCCUGCUUUUAUCCUGAAAGCUCUUUAAAGACCUUGGGAACUAUGUAACCAGAUCAUCUCACAGAAAGCUAUCCAGAUUUUCUAUACCUGGGGGGAAAAGACGGGAUCACAUGGAAGAGAAGACUUAAAGAAUUGUAAGAACUGUAAGAAGACCAAGGAUGAUUUCAUACAGACAUUUGUGAUGCCAUUUAAAUAUUUAUCAGAUGACACACCUGCUUAGCAAACGUCUUGACAAAUUUUCUUUGGAUCCAGGAGCCAGCAACAGACACUUGACAAAAUUACUGGAUUUUGUGACAGACAUUGUGGAGGGAGUUAAAUCGGCCUCAUUCUGUCCCUUUACAAGUAACAUACUUGGAACGGAGCUGCCUCGGACAAAUAAAAAUUUCAUUAAAUAA